UACAGAGGCCUCGAGCGUUAGGCGGAAUCACUGGGCUUAAAGCGUGUGUAGGCGGACUUCUAAGUACCUUGUGAAAUCCCACGGCUCACCCGUGGAACUGCUCGGUAUACUGGUCGUCCUGAGCCUUCUAGGGGCGAGUGGAACAAAUGGUGGAGCGGUGAAAUGCGUAGAUAUCAUUUGGAACGCCAAUGGUGAAAACAACUCGCUGGGGAAGUGCUGACGCUGAGACACGAAAGCCAGGGGAGCGAACGGG
rnacentral:rRNA from 1 species